CCGCAAUGUAUCCGUAAAAUGUGGAUCCAAAAAGAAAGAGAAUACGAUUCGUCAACGUAUCAAGACGGCAGGUCUCAAAAUUAUCUCGUCGUGCGAUUACUCGAAGUGUAUUACGCGAAGUGUGCGAUUACUCGAUUCUGGCGGGAAACGGCAUAUCGCUUCGCGAUCGCGAAUUUCGCGAGUGUUGUAACAAAAUGUCGCGCGUUUAAAUGCAGGAGUGUCGUUUCAAGUAUCGCGCAUUUAAGUGCGAGAGUGCUGUUUAAAAUAUCGCGUGUCAUGAAUUAACGGACUCUGCUAAUUCUGACGAUCUGAAAGGAGGAGCAGGCCUAGGAGAGGCAUCGCGCGCCGUAAUUCUAGAUUAAUGCAGCUUCAAUAACCAAUCCUGCUUGGGCAUCAAUUAUGUGUUACGUGUGAUUGUUCUGCGAUCGAUGUCGUGCAAAGUAUUCUGCGAUCAUUGUAUAUACGAUAUUAAUCAUAAUUAAUUGUAUUUUCGCGAGUGACUGUGAGUGUUAUGAUUAAACAGCAAAAGAUGAACAA